UUUGAUUUUCCAUAUGAAAACUUAGACUUGGUUUGGGCCUGGUUAGUACUUGGAUGGGAGACUGCCUUGGAAGACCAGGUGCCAUCAGAC
rnacentral:rRNA from 12 species